GGUGGCUCAGUGGUAGAGUGCUUGACUUUCAUGCAUGAGACCCUGGGUUCGAUUCCUCAGCACCA
rnacentral:tRNA from 1 species